rnacentral:rRNA from 1 species
UUUAAAUAGCCGCGGUAUUUUGACUGUGCGAAGGUAGCAUAAUCAUUUGUCUUUUAAUUGAAGGCUUGUAUGAAAGGUUGGAUGAGGGAACAGCUUUCUUUAUAUUAAAUGUUGAAUUUAAUUUUUAGGUUAAAAAGCUUAGAUUUAUAAAAGGGACGAGAAGACCCUAUAGAAUUUUAUUAUUAUUAUAAUAUUUGUAUAUUGGUUAUUAUAAUAUUAAUAUUAUAUAUAUAAUUUUGUUGGGGUGAUAGUGAGAUUUUUUUAACUCUUAUAUUAUAUUUAUUGUUAAUUAGCAUAUUAAUGAUCCUAUUUUAUGGAUAAUUAGAUUAAAUUACCUUAGGGAUAACAGCGUAAUUUUUCUGGAGAGUUCAUAUCGAUAGAAGAGUUUGCGACCUCGAUGUUGGAUUAAAAUUAAAUUUAAGUGCAGAAGCUUAAU